CCUACGGGUGGCAGCAGUGGGGAAUAUUGGGCAAUGGGCGCAAGCCUGACCCAGCAACGCCGCGUGAGGGAAGAAGGCUUUCGGGAUGUAAACCUCUUUUCUGAGGGACGAAGAAAGUGACGGUACCUCAGGAAUAAGCCACGGCUAACUACGUGCCAGCAGCCGCGGUAAUACGUAGGGGGCAAGCGUUAUCCGGAUUUAGUGGGUGUAAAAGGCGUGUAGGCGGGAAAGCAAGUCAGAUGGGAAAACUCAGGGCUCAACCCUGAGACUGCAUGUGAAACUGGUUUUCUUGAGUGCAGGAGAGGCAAGCGGAAUUCCGGGUGUAGCGGUGAAAUGCGUAGAUAUAAGGAGGAACACCAGUGGCGAAGGCGGAUUACUGGACAGUAACUGACGCUGAGGCGCGAAAGCGUGGGGAGCAAACAGGAUUAGAUACCCGAGUAGUC
rnacentral:rRNA from 1 species